UACGUAGGGUGCAAGCGUUAAUCGGAAUUACUGGGCGUAAAGCGUGCGCAGGCGGUUUUGUAAGUCUGACGUGAAAUCCCCGGGCUCAACCUGGGAAUUGCGUUGGAGACUGCAAGGCUGGAGUCUGGCAGAGGGGGGUAGAAUUCCACGUGUAGCAGUGAAAUGCGUAGAGAUGUGGAGGAACACCGAUGGCGAAGGCAGCCCCCUGGGUCAAGACUGACGCUCAUGCGCGAAAGCGUGGGGAGCAAACAGG
rnacentral:rRNA from 1 species